rnacentral:rRNA from 1 species
GAUGAACGCUGACAGAAUGCUUAACACAUGCAAGUCUACUUGAACUUCGGUUUGGGUGGCGGACGGGUGAGUAACGCGUAAAGAACUUGCCUCACAGUUAGGGACAACAUUUGGAAACGAAUGCUAAUACCUGAUAUUAUGAUUUUAGGGCAUCCUAAGAUUAUGAAAGCUAUAUGCGCUGCGAGAGAGCUUUGCGUCCCAUUAGCUAGUUGGAGAGGUAACGGCUCACCAAGGCGAUGAUGGGUAGCCGGCCUGAGAGGGUGAACGGCCACAAGGGGACUGAGACACGGCCCUUACUCCUACGGGAGGCAGCAGUGGGGAAUAUUGGACAAUGGACCAAAAGUCUGAUCCAGCAAUUCUGUGUGCACGAUGACGUUUUUCGGAAUGUAAAGUGCUUUCAGUUGGGAAGAAAAAAAUGACGGUACCAACAGAAGAAGUGACGGCUAAAUACGUGCCAGCAGCCGCGGUAAUACGUAUGUCACAAGCGUUAUCCGGAUUUAUUGGGCGUAAAGCGCGUCUAGGUGGUUAUGUAAGUCUGAUGUGAAAAUGCAGGGCUCAACUCUGUAUUGCGUUGGAAACUGCACAACUAGAGUACUGGAGAGGUAAGCGGAACUACAAGUGUAGAGGUGAAAUUCGUAGAUAUUUGUAGGAAUGCCGAUGGGGAAGCCAGCUUACUGGACAGAUACUGACGCUAAAGCGCGAAAGCGUGGGUAGCAAACAGG